GCAUACCUACGGGACGCAGCAGUGGGGAAUAUUGCGCAAUGGACGAAAGUCUGACGCAGCGACGCCGCGUGAGGGAUGAAGGUUUUCGGAUCGUAAACCUCUGUCAGGAGGGAAGAAAGCGCAUGGCGCCAAUCAGCCAUGCGUUGACGGUACCUCCAAAGGAAGCGCCGGCUAACUCCGUGCCAGCAGCCGCGGUAAUACGGAGGGCGCGAGCGUUAAUCGGAAUUACUGGGCGUAAAGCGCGCGUAGGCUGUUGUGGAAGUUGGGGGAGAAAUCCCACGGCUCAACCGUGGAACAGCCCUGGA
rnacentral:rRNA from 1 species